GACGAACGCUGGCGGCGUGCCUAAUACAUGCAAGUCGAACGCUGAAGGAGGAGCUUGCUUCUCUGGAUGAGUUGCGAACGGGUGAGUAACGCGUAGGUAACCUGCCUGGUAGCGGGGGAUAACUAUUGGAAACGAUAGCUAAUACCGCAUAAGAGUAGAUGUUGCAUGACAUUUACUUAAAAGGUGCAAUUGCAUCACUACCAGAUGGACCUGCGUUGUAUUAGCUAGUUGGUGAGGUAACGGCUCACCAAGGCAACGAUACAUAGCCGACCUGGGAGGGUGAUCGGCCACACUGGGACUGAGACACGGCCCAGACUCCUACGGGAGGCAGCAGUAGGGAAUCUUCGGCAAUGGACGGAAGUCUGACCGAGCAACGCCGCGUGAGUGAAGAAGGUUUUCGGAUCGUAAAGCUCUGUUGUAAGAGAAGAACGAGUGUGAGAGUGGAAAGUUCACACUGUGACGGUAUCUUACCAGAAAGGGACGGCUAACUACGUG
rnacentral:rRNA from 1 species